UAGGGAGUCUUCCACAAUGGGCGAAAGCCUGAUGGAGCAACGCCGCGUGUGUGAUGAAGGGUUUCGGCUCGUAAAACACUGUUGUAAGAGAAGAAUGACAUUGAGAGUAACUGUUCAAUGUGUGACGGUAUCUUACCAGAAAGGAACGGCUAAAUACGUGUCAG
rnacentral:rRNA from 1 species